rnacentral:rRNA from 1 species
UACGUAGGGUGCGAGCGUUGUCCGGAAUUACUGGGCGUAAAGAGCUCGUAGGUGGUUUGUCGCGUUGUUCGUGAAAACUCACAGCUUAACUGUGGGCGUGCGGGCGAUACGGGCAGACUGGAGUACUGCAGGGGAGACUGGAAUUCCUGGUGUAGCGGUGAAAUGCGCAGAUAUCAGGAGGAACACCGGUGGCGAAGGCGGGUCUCUGGGCCGAUACUGACACUGAGGCACGAAGGCCAGGGGAGCAAACGGG